rnacentral:rRNA from 1 species
UGGGGAAUAUUGCACAAUGGGCGCAAGCCUGAUGCAGCCAUGCCGCGUGUAUGAAGAAGGCCUUCGGGUUGUAAAGUACUUUCAGCGGGGAGGAAGGUGUUGUGGUUAAUAACCAUAGCAAUUGACGUUACCCGCAGAAGAAGCACCGGCUAACUCCGUGCCAGCAGCCGCGGUAAUACGGAGGGUGCAAGCGUUAAUCGGAAUUACUGGGCGUAAAGCGCACGCAGGCGGUCUGUCAAGUCGGAUGUGAAAUCCCCGGGCUCAACCUGGGAACUGCAUCCGAAACUGGCAGGCUUGAGUCUUGUAGAGGGGGGUAGAAUUCCAGGUGUAGCGGUGAAAUGCGUAGAGAUCUGGAGGAAUACCGGUGGCGAAGGCGGCCCCCUGGACAAAGACUGACGCUCAGGUGCGAAAGCGUGGGGAGCAAACA